RAAUAAGAAGCAAAAAUGCAUUUAAUUUCGACUUAAAAGAAUGGGUUAUAAUACCCCUUAUUUA
rnacentral:tRNA from 1 species